AUCAAACGUGAAAGACAUGCUCAUCCUCUUUUAUUUUUAAUUCACUUUUGGUCAAGCUGAGAAUACAUUUCGGUUUCUAUUGAUUCCAAUACAAAAACUGUUUUCCAGUUUUGAUGAUCGAUCAUGCUUUUCUCAACCUUAAUCCUAUGGGAUGCCAUUCUCUGUUGGUAGCUGGUGGAGGAGCAGAAGGUAAGCUGGCUAAACGAAAGACCCAUGAGUGGUGUUGGUGGAAAUUAUCCCAUAGUGCUCUGUUUCUUCUAACUAAUGAUGGAGGAAUUAGAGUAUCGUGAAUUGAUGAUCGUUGCUUUAGCAGAGGAUGUAAUCAACUCUCAUCUCAUCUGAGCUUUAAGGUGGUCAAUUUUUAUUGUAAUUGGAGGCGACUAGACCAUAUUGGUGCAUACUUUACACAGCUUGAUCAAGCAGCCCCUGAUCGGAGAGAAGGUUCGGAGAGAAAGUGGUGGCUAUGGCUGCUCUAGGAUUUCUCUCUAAGAUGAAGAUGUUUUCUACAAAGAGGCAUUUCUGGUAUUUUUCUAAUCUUUAUUGGCCAUAGGACCGAUUGCCUUGAGGGCGUUAAACCCGCUCUUAGACAUAUUUUAGUGUUUCAAGUUAUGGGCCUUUACUAGGCCUAGUAUUAUUAGUAGUAUGCUUUAAACCUGUAAUUCCAUUAAUUGUAUACUCUAUUGAAUUUUGUGGCCCCAUUAAUGCCAACUUAUUUUUCUAUUUAAUAAAAGAAAAUUAUUAUUUA